rnacentral:rRNA from 2 species
UACGAAGGGGGCUAGCGUUGUUCGGAUUUACUGGGCGUAAAGGGCACGCAGGCGGCUUAACAAGUUGGGGGUGAAAUCCCGGGGCUUAACCUCGGAACUGCCUUCAAAACUGUUAAGCUAGAGAUCGAGAGAGGUGAGUGGAAUUCCUAGUGUAGAGGUGAAAUUCGUAGAUAUUAGGAGGAACACCAGUGGCGAAGGCGGCUCACUGGCUCGAAUCUGACGCUCAGGUGCGAAAGCGUGGGGAGCAAACAGG